GACGAACGCUGGCGGCGUGCUUAACACAUGCAAGUCGAACGGAAAGGCCCUGCUUUUGUGGGGUGCUCGAGUGGCGAACGGGUGAGUAACACGUGAGUAACCUGCCCUUGACUUUGGGAUAACUUCAGGAAACUGGGGCUAAUACCGGAUAGGAGCUCCUGCUGCAUGGUGGGGUUUGGAAAGUUUCGGCGGUUGGGGAUGGACUCGCGGCUUAUCAGCUUGUUGGUGGGGUAGUGGCUUACCAAGGCUUUGACGGGUAGCCGGCCUGAGAGGGUGACCGGCCACAUUGGGACUGAGAUACGGCCCAGACUCCUACGGGAGGAAGCAGUGGGGAAUAUUGCACAAUGGGCGGAAGCCUGAUGCAGCAACGCCGCGUGCGGGAUGACGGCCUUCGGGUUGUAAACCGCUUUCGCCUGUGACGAAGCGUGAGCGACGGUAAUGGGUAAAGAAGCACCGGCUAACUACGUG
rnacentral:rRNA from 1 species